GUACUCGCUUCGGCGGUACAUAUACUAAAACUGGAACGAUACAGAGAAGAUUAGCAUCGUCCCUGCGCAAGGAUGACAGGCAGAAUCGUGAAGCUAGCCGGCACGGU